GUGGGGAAUAUUGGACAAUGGGCGAAAGCCUGAUCCAGCCAUGCCGCGUGUGUGAAGAAGGUCUUCGGAUUGUAAAGCACUUUAAGUUGGGAGGAAGGGUAGUAACCUAAUACGUUGCUACUUUGACGUUACCGACAGAAUAAGCACCGGCUAACUUCGUGCCAGCAGCCGCGGUAAUACGAAGGGUGCAAGCGUUAAUCGGAAUUACUGGGCGUAAAGCGCGCGUAGGUGGUUCAGUAAGUUGGAAGUGAAAUCCCCGGGCUCAACCUGGGAACUGCUUUCAAAACUGCUGAGCUAGAGUACGGUAGAGGGUAGUGGAAUUUCCUGUGUAGCGGUGAAAUGCGUAGAUAUAGGAAGGAACACCAGUGGCGAAGGCGACUACCUGGACUGAUACUGACACUGAGGUGCGAAAGCGUGGGGAGCAAACAGGAUUAGAUACCCGUGUAGUCC
rnacentral:rRNA from 1 species